ensembl:lncRNA
UUUUUUAUUUUUAUUUUUAUUUUUUUUGACUUUUUGCCUUUUCUAGGGCCACUCACGCGGCAUAUGGAGGUUCCCAGGCUAGGGGUCCAGUCGGCACUACAGCUGCUGGCCUGCACCACAGCCACAGCAACGCAGGAUCCGAGCCGCGUCUGCGACUCAUACCACAGCUCAGGGCAACUCUGGAUCUUUAACCCACUGAGCAAGGCCAGGGAUCAAACCCGCCACCUCAUGGUUCCUAGUUGGAUUCAGUAACCACUGUGCCAUGAUGGGAACUCCUGGAGCUCCCUAUGUGGGCUGCUCAGCUUCCUGGGCACAGAAGCACAGCUCCAUAAAGCACGGACAUGGCUGGAAUUUGCUAAGUAUUUGGUGAUGUAAACUGAUAAAGCAGAUGGAGAUAGAAGCAUACUGGGCAUUUGGUUUUCUGGUCUGUGAAGAUCUGACUGUGAGGAAAGCUAUGGUUCCUACUCUCAUUAUGGGAUUUACGUCUUAACGGAGGGAUAAUCACUAAACACACACACAGUGAAACAGGGAAUUUUGGAUUGUGACAGGUGCUAUGGAGAAAGUCAAUGGGUUAUGCGUGGAGAAUAGUCACAGGGGACAGGUGAACGGGUGGACAGGUGAACGGGUGAACAGGUGAACGGGUAGACAGGUGAACAGGAAGACAGGUGAAUGGGUGGACAGGUGAGUGGGUGGACAGGCAAAUGUGGUGGACAGGUGAACAGAAUGGGCAGGUGAACAGGCAGACGGGUGAACAUGUAGAUAGGUGAACGGGUGGACAGGUGAACAGAUAGACAGGUGAACACAGCAGAUGGGUGAGUGUGUGGACAGGUGAGUGGGUGGACAGGCAAACGUGGUGGACAGGUGACCAGAAUGGACAGGUGAGUGAGUGGACAGGUGAACAGAGAGACAGGUGAACAGGAGGAUGAGCAGACAGGUGAACACAGGGACGGGGUCAUUAGAAAGGGCAGGGGAGAACGGGAGGCCAGCAAAGACGAGGAACAGGUGAGGGUUAGGGAUGCACCUCUGGUCUCCCCACCCCCAGCCUCUCCUCGGCUCUGUCCCACUUCCUCCCCUCAGGGCUGCUCCUGAGCUGCACCCCCCCGCCCCCCCACCUCUCACCGAGGGCCUUUGCAGUUAGAGAGACUUAGAACUCAGACGUCGGUCAAAUGGAAGUUUGGAAGAUGAGAGUCUCAUCUCGGGAUUCAAACCGGUGGCCGAGAGCGAACGCGCCUCCCUCCGGGACGGGGAUCUGGCUGACCUGAGACGGCCCAGCCCGAGCUCGGCUCUUUACUCCGGCCUCACCAUCUGGCUGGAUGGAGCACAUCCAGAAAGUUCUGGAGUUUGAUGAUUCAGAGCUGAGAAAGGAGGAAUUCUCCUCGUCUUCAAAAUUAGUCUCGAGCAAGGAGAGGUGAGCAGGAAGCCACGGACGUGGCGCCCACGUGGGUCCUGCACACCGGCCUUGUCAUCGUCCACCUGACUCCCCGGAAAAGCCUCUCCUGGAAAACGCGAUUUCCAGCUACGCCGAGGCACGGAUCCAUGAGAUUUUGGAGACACCUUCUCCACCCGUGACAAUCAAUACUGCAUGCUGGGACCCUCCAGCCAUGACAUGAGGCUGCGUGAUGUCAAGACACAUUAAAAGUGGCUGAUCUGGGCGAGGCUUCGUUCACAGACCGAUUGAUUGAUUGAUUUGAUUGACUGAAGAUACACAUUUCUCCUAAGGCUCUGCGUUGUGUAGCAAAAUACAAACGCCCACAAAAAUGAAACGGAAGUCAGCACUUAAAGGGAGAGGGCACCAGCCUUGUGCAAAUGACAGUGGGGGGAAAAAGAAAGAAGUGGCAGUGGGGGACCCGCAGAGUCAGGCCCCUGGAGGUGACAGAUGAAGAGGAUUAGAAGGUGCCAUGGGCUGCGUACCCCCUAAGUCCACAGGUAGAAGCCCAGCCCCCAGGGCCCGGUCCUGGGAGGCGGGGCCUUGGGGAGGUGACGAGGGUCUCACGAGGUGGGGGGGGGGUUGCUGCCCUUAGGAGAGGGACAGACUUGAACUCCUUCACCCUGUGGGUGAGGCCGGCGGGAAGGCAGCCGUCUACAAGACAAAAACUGUCCUCACCAGAUACGCAUCUGUGGCGCCCUGACCUUGGACUUCUGGUCCCCAGGAUGUGAGCAGCAAAUGUUUGCUGUUUCAGCCCAGUUUGAGGUCCCGUCUGGGGCCAGAGCAGACAGGCCAGGCUGCCUGGGCUCUGACCCCAACCUGACCCCAGGCAUGCUGGCCAGGAAGAAAGUGUCAGUGCUGGCACGGCACCCCCUGGGGAGGCCGAGGAGGCAGGAGAGCAGAGGAGGGAGCAUCUCGGAGAAAAUGCAGACGGAGUGCCCGGUGGCAGGACACACGCACUUCACCUGCACGCUCACGCGGGUGAACAGGGACCGGAGGGGGAAACUGAGGCCCAGAGACGGUGAGCAGCUUGCUCACAGGCACACGGCCGGUGGUCAGCAGAGCCAGGCCGUGGGCAGCUCCCACAUCUGCCUUCCCGCUGCGCAAGGCGCCCAAGCCGGGGAGGGGGGCACAGGAAGGGGGAGAAGGUACCUCCAUCACCCUUUACUGUGACUACGGAAAUCGCAAAAACACACUGAACACAAUUACAACACCCUAUUUCAAGGGGGAAAGAAGAAGGGAUUCCACCGAAAAUGGGAGAAAACGAGGGUUUUCAGAUAGAGCCCUAAACCAGGGCUCCCCUCAGUGCCUGCGGAGGCCGCAGGGGCAGCAAAGCACAGAGCAGGACACACACUUCCGCCCAGUGCAUGCCCUGCUCUUGGUUUGUAGGUGGCACUGGUGUCAGUGCAGGCCCCCCAGCGUGCCCACGUCCCUGCCUGGCCUUGGAAUGCAAGGCCUCCCCGCAGAGGCAGAAGACACGUGCACCUUCCUCUGGCAACCCCUGGAGAAACGAACAGUGCCGCCAGCACCCUGCCAGCUGGGAACGGACACAUAUGUGCCCUGGACCUGAGACGCAGGUCGGCAGGGGAGGUGGGGACGCUGAAUGGGGACACCACCGUCCCAUGGAGGAGCCAGGCUUCCCACGAUCUCCACAACCCAGAAACAGACUUGUAUUUGAGCCCUUCUUUUUGCCUUUUUUUUUUUUUUUUUUGGUUUUUUUCUGGGGCUCCCCCCACAGCCUAUGGAGGUUCCCAGGCUAGGGCCCUAAAAAGACAAAAGACAAAAAAAAUAAAAAAUAAAAAUAAAAACAAAACACAUCCUUGCUCACACACACAUGCAUAUCCAUGUACAAGUGCACACAGUACAUGCACAUACACAUGGUCAUCUAUACACUUGCACACAUGAACAUACAUGUGCACAGUGCACAUCUACAUGUGUGCUCAUACGCAUGCACCUCCAUGCACACACAUGUGCGCACGUACACAUGUGUGCUCAUAUGCAUGCACAUCCAUGCACACACGUAGACAUGCACACGUGCAUGUCCAUGCACAUGCAUGUACGUGCAUACACACACGAACAUACAUGUGUACUGUGCACAUCCAUACACAGGUGCACAUAUAUACACACAUGCUCACUCAUACACAGCCAUGCACACGCAUAUGCAGGUAUGCACACAUGUGCACGUCCAUGUACACACGGGCACAUCCAUACACAUGCACACGUGACCACAUCCAUGUACACACAUGCACACAUCCAUGUACACCGUGCACACCUGCACACAUGUACUCACACGUGUGCACAUUCAUGCACACACAUGCAAUCUGUGUGAUACAUGUAUACAUCCAUGUCCGCGUGUGCGCACCCAUGUACACACAUGCAAUGUGCGCAUGUGCACACACAUGCACACACAUGCCCACAGCCAUAUCCGUGUGCAUGCACACCACCUGGGAGCUGGUUGGCCUAAGAGCCUCCAGUCUGCCUUCUAAGCAACCAGGAAAGUAACGAGGACCCCUGGCCGGUGUCUGUGGUUGAGGGCAGAGGAGCUGGCAGGCUGGCAGCUGCCCUCCACGACAUCGUCACCGAGGGCCGGGCAGACUCUAAUUAACAUCUUUUGUUAGUGGUCACUACGUCCUACGUUCAACAAACUUACUGAAUGCGUUCCUACUUCAAACGAUUUCACUCUAAUUUGACAAGAUAUGCCAGGCCCUUCUCCCAGUGUGCGCACGUGCUACACCCGACAUGUUCAGUGUGUACAGCACACACAUGCACACACACACACGUGCCCAUGUUCCUAACCUCAUGCUCACGUGUUACUGCAUGCUUCUUACAGAUGUGAAAAAAUAAAAACAUCUUUAAAUGCCUGUCUAUAGAUGCAUUGUUAAAUGAACCAGCAACUCAAAAUGUGUUGUGGUCAUUAAAAUACUCAAAACUACCACAAUAACCAAGAUAUGCUUACACUAUCAAAGCAGAGUGGGUGGCGGGACCCUGCGUCUGUGUCUGAGGCAUGGGGAGCUGCUGUCUCUGGGAGGCAAGAACGUGGAUGGGCUCUUAGGUCCGCUUCUCUGUACCGUCUCUAUCCCUCCUUUUCUGGCCACGUCCUCAGCGUGUGGAAGUUCCCAGGCCAAGGACUGAAGCCCCGCCACAGCAGCAACCCAAGCUGCUGCAGUGAUUCUUAACCCACGGCACCACAAGGGAACUCCCCCAGAUUCCUUUGACCGCGUUAUUUAUUUGUAUAAUUUGAAACCAUAUGACACAUGUAUUAAAGAAAAUGCAAUUCAUAUCAAAACAAUGCUGACAUUACACAGAGCAGGAGGGGGCAGCCUCCCCAUCCCCCAGAGCCAAGGUUUUGCACACGCCUGCCUGCGUAUGCGCACACGCACCCACACACACACCACACACCACACAGACCCCCACUCACUCACUCAGAGAGAGAUGGAAGAUUCUUAUUUUAAAAAGAUAAUUUUUAAAAGAGAAGCUUAUUUGUUACAAAGAAUCUCAAGCUGAACUCUAAUGGUUUUUGCCCUCGUCUGGUCUUUUGAUGUGACAUAAAGCACAUUUCAUUUCUGAGCCACAGUCCUGAUAUGUUCUUUCAAACUGACAUCAGCUAACACUUAGCACUAUUCCUUAGCAGCAUUUUAUAUAAUUUUUCAAGCCCUUAUAACUCUGCCUUCCCAACUUUGUGAUUAGGAAGGACAAUUUCAUUUACUUCACUAGCUGGCAGGAAACAAAUCAACAAUUCAUUUGUCCUUAAUGUGCUUGUGGGAAAUUCUUCUCAAAGAAAAAAGGUGCAAAAAUCAUUGACAGCGAAGUGAAUACAUGUUGACUUGACUCUAACAAGUACAGAGAUUAAAGCUCUAUGGAAAUCUUGGUGGAAAUAGUAUAAAACAGAGUUUGGAGACAAUUCCACAUGGAGGCUGAAAGAAAAACCCCACAGCAGAGGGAAGGGGCCGAGGCACAGGGUGGGCGGUGCCACCCAGCAGACGCUCAGAGGUUGGGUGAAAGCCCAUAAGAACGUGCCCACCUGCAGGGGAACAGACCCUAUGGCUCUGGGGACAGGGGG